rnacentral:rRNA from 1 species
CGGACGGGUGAGUAAUGCUUGGGAAUCUAGCUUAUGGAGGGGGAUAACUACGGGAAACUGUAGCUAAUACCGCGUAAUAUCGAAAGAUUAAAGUGUGGGACCUUCGGGCCACAUGCCAUAGGAUGAGCCCAAGUGGGAUUAGGUAGUUGGUGAGGUAAGGGCUCACCAAGCCGACGAUCUCUAGCUGGUCUGAGAGGAUGACCAGCCACACUGGGACUGAGACACGGCCCAA